AUUGAACGCUGGCGGCAGGCCUAACACAUGCAAGUCGAGCGGACGAAGGGAGCUUGCUCCUGGAUUCAGCGGCCGACGGGUGAGUAAUGCCUAGGAAUCUGCCUGGUAGUGGGGGAUAACGUCCGGAAACGGGCGCUAAUACCGCAUACGUCCUGAGGGAGAAAGUGGGGGAUCUUCGGACAUCACGCUAUCAGAUGAGCCUAGGUCGGAUUAGCUAGUUGGUUGGGUAAAGGCCUACCAAGGCGACGAUCCGUAACUGGUCUGAGAGGAUGAUCAGUCACACUGGAACUGAGACACGGUCCAGACUCCUACGGGAGGCAGCAGUGGGGAAUAUUGGACAAUGGGCGAAAGCCUGAUCCAGCCAUGCCGCGUGUGUGAAGAAGGUCUUCGGAUUGUAAAGCACUUUAAGUUGGGAGGAAGGGCAGUAAGUUAAUACCUUGCUGUCUUGACGUUACCAACAGAAUAAGCACCGGCUAACUUCGUG
rnacentral:rRNA from 1 species